rnacentral:rRNA from 1 species
AUUGAACGCUGGCGGCAUGCCUUGCACAUGCAAGUCGAACGGCAGCACGGGUGCUUGCACCUGGUGGCGAGUGGCGAACGGGUGAGUAAUACAUAGGAACAUGUCCUGUAGUGGGGGAUAGCCCGGGGAAAGCCGGAUUAAUACCGCAUACGAUCUACGGAUGAAAGCGGGGGACCUUCGGGCUCCGCGCUAUAGGGUUGGGCGAUGGCUGAUUAGCUAGUUGGUGGGGUAAAGGCCUACCAAGGCGACGAUCAGUAGCUGGUCUGAGAGGACGACCAGCCACACUGGGACUGAGACACGGCCCAGACUCCUACGGGAGGCAGCAGUGGGGAAUUUUGGACAAUGGGCGAAAGCCUGAUCUAGCAAUGCCGCGUGUGUGAAGAAGGCCUUCGGGUUGUAAAGCACUUUUGUCCGGAAAGAAAUCCUUGGCUCUAAUACAGUCGGGGGAUGACGGUACCGGAAGAAUAAGCACCGGCUAACUACGUGCCAGCAGCCGCGGUAA